rnacentral:rRNA from 1 species
GACGAACGCUGGCGGCGCGCCUAACACAUGCAAGUAGAACGGAGUCAAGAGGAGCUUGCUUUUCUUGACUUAGUGGCGAACGGGUGAGUAACGCGUGAGUAACCUGCCCUGGAGUGGGGGACAACAGUUGGAAACGACUGCUAAUACCGCAUAAGCCCACGGAUCUGCAUGGAUCUGCGGGAAAAGGAUUUAUUCGCUCUAGGAUGGACUCGCGUCCAAUUAGCUAGUUGGUGAGGUAACGGCCCACCAAGGCGACGAUUGGUAGCCGGACUGAGAGGUUGAACGGCCACAUUGGGACUGAGACACGGCCCAGACUCCUACGGGAGGCAGCAGUGGGGGAUAUUGCACAAUGGGGGAAACCCUGAUGCAGCGACGCCGCGUGGAGGAAGAAGGUUUUCGGAUUGUAAACUCCUGUCGUUAGGGACGAUAAUGACGGUACCUAACAAGAAAGCACCGGCUAACUACGUG